AGAGUUUGAUCCUGGCUCAGAACAAACGCUGGCGGCGUGCCUAAUACAUGCAAGUCGCACGUGAAAGUCCUCGGGAUGAGUAAAGUGGCGCACGGGUGAGUAAUACAUGGGAACGUACCUUUCAGUUGGGAAUAACCACGGGAAACUGUGGCUAAUACCGAAUGAUAACGUAAGUUUAAAGAUGGCCUCUGUUUACAAGC
rnacentral:rRNA from 1 species